GCUCACUGCCCAUACAGAGUUAAAGAGAAGGAACCUGUUCACAAUUCUCAGGUGAGGUAUGGCAUAGCUGCAAUGUUGUCAUAUCCUGAAAACGUAAAGAAGGGGCAGGUGUUAGAUAUUCUUCAAGUUCUCUUAAUAUUACAGGACAUGUACAGCAUGCUCUGUUAUGAUCAAAUUUGAAAGGCCCCUCAUAUACAAGGCAUAAUUUCACCUACCAUUUUUAGAGUUAUCUGUUCUAUUUCUUCCUCUGUUUUUCCUCUUAAGCAUUCAACCAGAGCGGCAGAACUGGAUUUCUCACAGCCAGAUGCAGCAGCAAUUCU